AGUGUGUCCAUCUGGAUAUUUUGGAGACAGCUGUUCAUCGCCAUGCAACUAUCCUGCCUUUGGAUUCCUUUGCUUAAGUAAUUGCUCAUGUUCAUCUACCAACUGCAACCAUGUAAAUGGAUGUGUUUAUACUACAGAGUAUCCUCUAGGACGACGAACCAAGACAAAAUCACCAAAUGACUGCGUAACUGGGGAGACAAGUGAACAUGAAAAAUGCUGCACAAACUACUACAGAACAAAGAAUGUAUGCCUAGAAUGCCCUCUCGGACAUUUUGGUGAUAAUUGCUCAUCCACCUGCAUCUAUCCAUCGUUUGGAUCCACGUGUCGAGAAGAGUGCAAUUGUUCUAUUGAUAAGUGCGAUUACAGAUACGGCUGUGGGACAACGG